rnacentral:rRNA from 1 species
AUUGAACGCUGGCGGAAUGCUUUACACAUGCAAGUCGAGCGGCAGCGCGGGGCAACCUGGCGGCGAGCGGCGAACGGGUGAGUAAUGUAUCGGAACGUAUCCUUAAGUGGGGGACAACUAGUCGAAAGACUAGCUAAUACCGCAUACGAUCGAGAGAUGAAAGUGGGGGACCGCAAGGCCUCACGCUUUUGGAGCGGCCGAUAUCCGAUUAGCUUGUUGGUGAGGUAAAGGCUUACCAAGGCUAUGAUCGGUAGCUGGUCUGAGAGGAUGAUCAGCCACACUGGGACUGAGACACGGCCCAGACUCCUACGGGAGGCAGCAGUGGGGAAUUUUGGACAAUGGGGGCAACCCUGAUCCAGCCAUUCCGCGUGAGUGAAGAAGGCCCUCGGGUUGUAAAGCUCUUUCACCCGUGACGAUAAUGACGGUAGCGGGAGAAGAAGCCCCGGCUAACUCCGUG